GUCUGUGUGUGUGUUUGUGUGUCUGUCUGUGUGUGUUUGUGCAUGUGUGUGUCCGUUUGUCUGUGUGUCUGUCUGUGUGUGUUUGUGCAUGUGUGUGUCUGUCUGUCUCUGUUUGUGGUUGUGUGUGUGUGUGUGUGUGUGUGUAAGGUCAGAUGACGAUAGCAAGAUAAACGACGGUGACGAUUGGCUUACAGUUUUUGCCUAUUGCUUACACACGUUUUGCUAAAUUUGGCUCAUUGUGUCAAAACUCUACACACAAGCAAAGAAGACACCACACUGGGAAAUAAACCAUUCACAUCUAUGUCAAAUUGAAACUCUGCUAUCAAAACCUAACAAUCCUUUGUCAAAAUGUCACUCUGAUGACAAAAUGAUGCCCACUUGCAUCAUAUGAAUACACUUUCAGAUCAGCAGCAAGACACUAGUCUACUUUAUAUAAAAAACUGCAGUCUUUUGUUUUCAAUGUUUUUAUUCAGUUCCAUAGAGGGCAUAUUUUCACAACAACCAAAAAAAUGAAAUACUGAAUUCAAAAUCAUUACAUUAGUAUAUUUUAAAGUACAGUACAUUUAGUUAAAUCAAAAAUAAAACAAACAAUACACUACUGUAAACACAGAAAAACACAAUUGUGUGCAAGUGGGCUUAUGGAUCCUGCCGUCUGUUGGGGUCUGGCCACAGGAUCUCAACAUCACAAGCAAUGUCUUCUCUCGCUAAGCAUCGGGGGAAAUAUCCCCUUGUGUGGCGAAUCCAUCCCUGGAUUGACCUCACCUCGAUGUCUCCGCAGGCCUGUUCCAUUGCCUGCAGAAGAGGCAUACGGGCAUGUGGUUGGCGGUCAUAUACGCGCCAUCUCCAAACGGAAAAUAAUUCCUCUAUAGGAUUUAGAAAUGGCGAGUAAGGGGGCAAGUACAGAACUUCAAAUUGAUCAUGGUUGGUGAACCAGUUCUGGACCAGAGCAGCCCGAUGGAAACUAACAUUAUCCCAGACAACAACAAACCUGGGCUGCUCUGGUCCAUCCUGUACAACUGCAUCAUGAAGUGCAUCUAUAAAUGUGAUUAUGUGUUGCGCAUUGUAGGGACCCAGUUUGGCAUGAUGGUGCAGUCGCCCUCGAAGACUCAUGGCAGCACACAAUGUGAUGUUUCCCCCGCGCUGACCCGGGACGUGCAAAAUUGCCCUUUGGCCAAUUAUAUUACGUCCCCGUUGUCUGUUUUUUCUAAGGUUGAAUCCAGCCUCGUCAAUGUAAAUACAUUCAUGCGGCUGGGCAGCUCCAUCCAUGUCCAAGAUUCUCUGUAACAAAAUGUUUUGUAGCUGGCUGAUUGGUGUUCAGUUUUGUAAGUAAGUGUUUUCAGGUGUGUGUCUAUGUCUUUUCAAUUAACCAAUGUGUGUUGUAUUUUGAAUAGAUGUGUUUUCCCAAUGGUACCCUGAGAUUUCAUUUUUGAACCAAGUGUCUUAUGUAUGAAAUAGUGUGUAGGGUCUAGGAGCAAGUGUGUUGCAGAAAGGAGCAAGUGUGUUACAGAAUUGCAACUAAAGUGCAAAGCAGCGCUUUUGUUUAAGGUAUGGUUACACUUUGUUUCUAGACGGUUUUCCUGUUGCCGACCCUCCCUAUCCCUGGUUAACCCGCUAGUCCGACUCCCUGUGAACCUACCAGCCCUUCGUCCUGUUGAUACUCUGCCUGCCGUUUCCAGAGUGUGGAAUAUAAGUUCGAAGGAUCCCUGGAGUCGAGGGUGCAUUUGGGUCUACACACGAGUCGUUACAAAAAGCGACCAACCAGGUCAGACGGUGAUGUUGGUAAAUCAUCUGAGGGGCGGGGCCAGACCGUGACAUAAUUCUCCCAAUUCUUCCCAUUCACUGAUGUGACGUGGAAGGGAGGGUCCUGUGUGUGUCAGGCAUGAGGUGUUAAACCCGGGAUCAAAGCCUCCGGAUCCGUCUGAGAUUUGUUUCAGUUUCCGUCCAGACGUCAAGAAGGGGCGUCGAAGCCCGUCGGACCAGAAGAGUCUUCCAAAGGCAUGCUGGGAAACCCAGGAGGCGGGCAGCUGCUUUCCAUCUUCAACGUACGGACACGGUGGACAGCGAGAGACUGGAACCGUGGAAACACCAGACCAGAUGGAGCAAGAGAGAUCCGAAAAACUUAAUUGCUUUUCCCGGCCUCACCGCUCCGGACCAGCAGUUUGUCAAAGAGCUCCGAUACGCCAGAACUUUGCAAUGCGGUUUUCACAAAUGGAAACUGUGGUGCUUUAAUAUCCCGUUUGGCCAAAUCUUGGCAAACGUUUGGUUCAGUGUGUUCCCUUCAAAUAAUUACGUCAGAGAAAAAUAAGACUGAACUGUUUUAGUACAUUUAGUGCUUAAAAAUAUACUCUUACAAGGCGUGGAUUGUGAAGUUCUCAAUAAAGGUCUUUCUGCAUUUC